AACAGUGACCUUGCCAUCAGAGAGAACCUCAUCAGGAAGGACUUUGAGCUCUUAAGGAAGCCACCCCUUUGGAGAGGCUCUACUUGGACCCACCAAAUUCCAAUCUGUAGGAAAAAAGCUACAGCCAAUUUUCAGGCCGCUUCCAAAUACUACAUGAGCUAGUUUGGUGUCUAAUGUAACAGUUGUACAUGUUUUAGUGGCUCCACAGUUAGACUUGUUGGACACUAAGGAAGCCAUCUAUCAGAGAGUUGGGGUAAAAGCUGACUUGGCAGAAGCUGUCUGAUACUGUGGGUCAUCCUGACCUUGAGACUGCGCAACGUGCCCUGGCAGAUUCAGAGUGUGUCCUGCUAGAACCCAUGUGCUGGACUCAUUUCCAAGUGUGCCUGCAGCAUGCAUUCAUUACUGCAUCUGAUGGAAGCACAAAGGGAGAGACAAAGAUGCAGAGAACAAUGCUCAGAAUGGCUGUAUUGCACACAAUCCUCUUCUGAGGCCCCAUUCCUGAAAGAAAGCAGGCCAUGCUGGUCUCAGUAUUUGCAUGGAAGGAUAUCUGCCAGUGAAUGAGUCUGUUGAAAUCACCACACCAAAUUCAACAUUAAGGGCCAACCCUGACCACAGCUGAGCCGUGUGAAGAGGCUGACAGCGGCGUGGCCACCACCCAGGAUGGAGAGAAAGGCACUGUGAGGUGUUAAUGGAAAAAUCCAACUUCCUUUUCUUCCAAAGAUGAUGACUGAAACCAAAGUGGAGCUUUCCCUGAAACUUUCUGAGAUGCAAGUGGGUGUUAAAUGGUUCAGCAAAGCCAAGCCAGAGCAGUUGGUGUGCUUUGAAAUGAAGCAACAUUGGAAAAAUGAAAUCUACUGAAAGAUCACUACGUGUUUCAAAGAACUGACUAGAACCAGAACUCUUCAGAAAAGAAUGUGCUAAAGGUUUGUCCUUGAGAAGUUUCCAAGCCAAGACACUCCUAGGAGCACUUCCCAUUGAGGCCGAAAGGCUCAUCCACUUACAGCGAUUCAUGGGAAAAGAGGACAGCACCCUCAUCUUUGGUCCAAGAACACAAUCCUGAGUGACACAGGAUUGCCCUGAAAGUCAACAGCAUCCGUCUUACAAAAAUCAACAACACUCGCUUUUCAAACUUCCAAAGAAUUUACUGGUCUGGUUUGGCCUUUUGGUGCCACAUUCCAUUCCAGAACCCCAGCUAAAAUGUUCUCAAGGGCUGACCAGAGAUUCCUCCUCCUUUCUCUGGGCUGGUACAACUUGACCGCUGCUUGACAUCAAGGUCAACUGGAGACUGGGAACAGUUAUGUAACUGUGUUGUAAAUUGAAUUAGAGCUGUACAUGAGCCCAGACCAAGUAACCAGUGCAGCUCCAGGCAAGAGCAGCAACAUGUCCCCCAGAGACAGCAUUGGAGGAACAGCUUACUGGGGAAUGGAAAAAGGGUAUCACAGGGUAAAAAAGAAACCGUCUCUUUCCAGUCCUUCUAAAGUCUGGGCAGUUGGCUGCCCCAUCACAUGUGGAAUAAGAGGGGGGCAUUAAGUGCAGAGGGAGCUGGUGUCAGUAUGGCAGGCAAACACUGAGGAAAAAUCAGCAUACAUAGUAUACACAAAGAGAAUGAGAAAAAAAUAUUUGUAACACCAGAACAGACACCACCCAGAUGAAAGAAAUAAGAAGGCUUACACGUGGAGAGGAAAAAAGCCUCUGGCAGUGGUCAGUGGACUGUAGAAUGAGCAAGAAAGGCAUGACCAUCCUCCUACCAGUGACUGGUCAUUCUGGAGAGGAUACAUGUGCACAGAUCUGGAAAACCAGGGCUGAAAAGCCUUUUGACACCUUUGGUGACCUAGGACAUGGUCCCCCAAUGUAAGACAUCAUGCUAGAUAGAGGGGAAAAUAGUAAGUUUUCUUCAAAGGCAAAUGAAUACAACUUGAGAUAACUUUUGAAAAGAAAAAAGGUACUGGGACCAUGGCAUGACUUUGAUCUGUGCUAACAUGACCGCCUGCAGAAGCAGAUGAGGAGAGGCAGAAUAAUGUAAAGCUGAAAGCUUGGAGUCACCAAACCAUAGAUAGCUUCACCUCUUACCAAGUGCUUGAUGUGUGGCUAGGUUCUUAAAUCCCCUACAAGUUCCAGCUUCCUCAUCUGUAAAAAACGAGCAAGUUAAGACUGGGUGAGUUAAUAGAUGUAAAAGUACUUAGUACAGUACUCUACAAAUAGUAAGUGCCCAAUAAAUGUUAACUGUUA
rnacentral:lncRNA from 1 species